CUUUCCUCAAGAGCUAACUGUUACACAUGUUUCUUACUAAUCAGGAAGGGUGAACAAGCAGGCUCAGCAAACUGCUCUUUAUCUUGUAGUACACACAGCACUGGUUAUCUUCUCAAGCUGUGCAAAGCCCCUAGCAAAGUGUGCAUUGCCAUGCAGUGGCAAUGUUAGAGCAGUGGCAAACCAGACUUACUGUCAAAACAGCAGUGCUCCAAGUCGUUAGACACGCACUCGGCCAAAUCAAAUGCUCUACAGCUGUCUGUUGCAGUAGUGGUGGGUAUGGAAAUCUGCACUGCAAGUGAAAACAAAAUAAACAAAAAUCACCUUGCAGCACAUCUAGAGAUUCAGCCUAAGGAACCUCCUUGACCUGCAGCUUGUGUCCAAUUUAGCAGAUACUACUGGACUCCGUGUUUAGCUGAAAACUUCCUACAGAGAGGAACAACAGCAAGCUCCUGUGCCGUCCCUGCGCCUGCCAGCUGCAGCCAGACUUCCUGACCCACGGCUUUAAUCCAAGCCCUGCCACCAGGGCUGCGCAGGAAUGAAAAGCAGUUCCAGAGAUCCUUUUCCCUUCAGCUAUUCUCUUAAAGAGUUAUGGAUUUUUCCUUACUCUUUGGAGACAUCUGUGUGAAAUUACCCACACUACAGUAAUCCUAACAAAAACCAAGGUUUAUUAAAACAAAGAGAAGCUGGAAUUAAAACAAAAUAAAUUGUUUGCUUAACAUAGCUGAUUUUACAAUUCUCAUAAGUCACAUUAGAUAAGGCAUAAACCAGAUAAGCUCAACUUCAGAUAAAAAAAAAAAAAGGAAAAAAAAUGAAUCCUGUAUUUUAUCCUUUGAAAUUAAAUAUCUUCUCUGACCACAGCAGCCAGCCUGUCAGUGGUGCCUGGAGACCAACAAUUCCCCCUUUUUAUCUCCCACAGAUACACCUAAUAAGUCUCAGUUCAGGUUUCCUAAACGCUGCUCCGAAGACAAAAAAUGGGCUUCGGUAAACAGUUACAGUCUCCAUCUCUGAGGAGUUACACCACGGAGGAAAUGCACACCCUUAAUUGUGAUCUAUGGCUGCCUUUUCAAGGUUUAUGGCCCAGCUCAAACAUUACCUUCCACUAACCAGAGCCGCUGGCUGUCAAGGAUUUGGCUACACCCAUGGGCAAACCCCACCUACAGCAGCUCCUUUCCUUUCCACUUGUCACAGACUGUGAAUUACAGACAGGGGGUAAGGCUCUCUGUCUCAAUCAGUUAUGUCUCAAAACAGGUCCAAUGGACAUUUGAAAAAUAAAACCAGUCGCAUCUGAUGACUCAACUGACAGAUUGUUCUUUCCUGCUGCCUUUAUAGGGUUUAGGUCUUGUAUAGAUGUAGUUUUCGCUUCAGUACUCUGUGUCAUUUAGCGGGUAUUCCCCAGAAAGGAGAGGAGCACUGCUCUUGGAAAGCUGCAACAAAAACUGGUCUGCAAUAGAAACUUUCCCUGCUUUAUAAGGAUAAUGGAAAUAGUAAGCUUGUUCCUUCUUGCAUGCAAGCACAUGCGAGCACACUG
rnacentral:lncRNA from 1 species